rnacentral:rRNA from 1 species
AGAGUUUGAUCCUGGCUCAGGAUGAACGCUAGCGGCAGGCUUAACACAUGCAAGUCGAGGGGUAGAGGUUGCUUGCAACCUUGAGACCGGCGCACGGGUGCGUAACGCGUAUGCAACCUACCUUUUACAGAGGGAUAGCCCAGAGAAAUUUGGAUUAAUACCUCAUAGUAUAUAUCUUUCGCAUGUUAGGUAUAUUAAAGUUCCAACGGUAAAAGGUGGGCAUGCGUCCUAUUAGCUAGAUGGUAAGGUAACGGCUUACCAUGGCUACGAUAGGUAGGGGUCCUGAGAGGGAGAUCCCCCACACUGGUACUGAGACACGGACCAGACUCCUACGGGAGGCAGCAGUGAGGAAUAUUGGACAAUGGGCGCAAGCCUGAUCCAGCCAUGCCGCGUGCAGGAAGAAGCAUCUAUGGUGUGUAAACUGCUUUUGUACAGGAAGAAACAUCCCGACGUGUCGGGACUUGACGGUACUGUAAGAAUAAGGAUCGGCUAACUCCGUGCCAGCAGCCGCGGUAAUACGGAGGAUCCAAGCGUUAUCCGGAAUCAUUGGGUUUAAAGGGUCCGUAGGCGGUUUGGUAAGUCAGUGGUGAAAGCCCGCAGCUCAACUGUGGAACGGCCAUUGAUACUGCCAGACUUGAAUUACAAGGAAGUAACUAGAAUAUGUAGUGUAGCGGUGAAAUGCUUAGAUAUUACAUGGAAUACCAAUUGCGAAGGCAGGUUACUACUUGUGGAUUGACGCUGAUGGACGAAAGCGUGGGGAGCGAACAGGAUUAGAUACCCUGGUAGUCCAA